UACAGGGGGUGCAAACGUUGCUCGGAAUCAUUGGGCGUAAAGCGCACGUAGGCGGUUCGUUAUGUCGGAUGUGAAAGCCCUUGGCUUAACCGAGGAAGUGCAUCCGAAACUGGCGGGCUUGAGUGCCGGAGAGGGUCGCGGAAUUCCCGGUGUAGAGGUGAAAUUCGUAGAUAUCGGGAGGAACACCAGUGGCGAAGGCGGCGACCUGGACGGACACUGACGCUGAGACGCGAAAGCGUGGGGAGCAAACAGG
rnacentral:rRNA from 1 species